rnacentral:rRNA from 2 species
CACCGCGGUGAUACGAGAGGCCCGAGCUAACAGCCCCCGGCGUAAAGCGUGGUUAGGGUAAGUCAAAACUAAAGCCGAACGCCCCUAGGGCCGUGAUACGCGUAUAAAGGUAUGAAGUCCCACCACGAAAGUGGCUUUAAUACUUCCUGACCCCACGAAAGCUAAGAUA